rnacentral:rRNA from 1 species
UACGUAGGGGGCAAGCGUUGUCCGGAUUCAUUGGGCGUAAAGAGCGUGUAGGCGGCCAGGUAGGUCGGUUGUGAAAUCUCUGAGCUUAACUCAGAACGGCCAAGUGAUACUGCAGUGCUAGAGGUGCAGAAGGGGCAAUCGGAAUUCUUGGAUGUAGCGGUGAAAUGCGUAGAUAUGCGGAGGAACAACCGAUGGCGAAGGCAAUCCCCUGGGCCUGCACUGACGCUCGAUGCACGAAAGCGUGGGAGCAAACAGG